GUUUAUUUAUGCAAAAAAUGAUUGAUCAAUAAAAAGUAUUUUAAAAAAUCACUUUUUUGUUGUUGCUAAAAUUAAAUAUGGGUUAAUCGUUUCUUUUGAUGAGCUAUAGACAUUGUUUCCUUUUAUAACUUCUUCCAGGUAUCUUUGUUAAUGGAUUUUUUUUGCAUCAAUCAACCCUUUAGAAAAAACAUCGUGAGUAAUCAAGAGCAAUAAAGGAUAAAAGAGACAUUUUUUUUUCAAAAGCUGCGAUGAAAAUAUUCUGUUAUCCAUUAAAAAUCUUAUGCAUUGAACAUGCUAAUAGGAGUUGCUAGGCUUUGCUGGUCGGGGCUGCUUGUGGGGGCUGAGGUCGCUGGUGGCGCGGCUGUGGGAUGUUGGGUGGUGUUCCGGCUGAUGUUGGUGGAGGUGCGCUGGAAGCGUGAGGCUGCUGGUGGCGUCGUGACAGCAGAAAAAUGGAAUGAAAUGGAGCAAGGGGGCUGGCGUUGUGGUGGGUUGUUGGCGGUGAAAAGGAGAGUAAAGGGGAGGGGAAUUUGGGGACGUGAGGUGCUGCUGUUCUGCUAGUGGGCGUGUGAUGAAGAGGUUGCCUGGAUAACGAGGGAUGGUGAUUGCGGCAGCAACAAGAAUGAAAAAGAACAAACCAGAGGAAGAAACGUGGAGGUUGGCUGCAGCAAGAAGGAAGAAGGAGAAGCUGGAGGGGAAAUGGGCAGUCUGCUGGUGGGGGAAAAGAAACGCACGCAAGAAGAGGAAAGGAAAGAGACAGAGAGAAGGGGGGAAGAAAGUCAAG
rnacentral:lncRNA from 1 species